rnacentral:rRNA from 1 species
GACGAACGCUGGCGGCGUGCUUAACACAUGCAAGUCGAACGAUGAAGCUGGAGCUUGCUCUGGUGGAUUAGUGGCGAACGGGUGAGUAACACGUGAGUAACCUGCCCUGGACUCUGGGAUAACCCCGAGAAAUCGGAGCUAAUACCGGAUAGGACCUUGGAUCGCAUGAUCUGGGGUGGAAAGUUUUUCGGUCUGGGAUGGACUCGCGGCCUAUCAGCUUGUUGGUGAGGUAAUGGCUCACCAAGGCGUCGACGGGUAGCCGGCCUGAGAGGGUGACCGGCCACACUGGGACUGAGACACGGCCCAGACUCCUACGGGAGGCAGCAGUGGGGAAUAUUGCACAAUGGGCGCAAGCCUGAUGCAGCAACGCCGCGUGCGGGAUGACGGCCUUCGGGUUGUAAACCGCUUUUAGUAAGGAAGAAGCCGCAAGGUGACGGUACUUGCAGAAAAAGGACCGGCUAACUACGUGCCAGCAGCCGCCGCGGUAA